rnacentral:rRNA from 1 species
GACGAACCGUGCGAACGUUAUUCGGAAUCACUGGGCUUAAAGGGCGCGUAGGCGGGUCAUCAAGUCCGGGGUGAAAGCCCACGGCCCAACCGUGGAAGUGCCUUGGAUACUGAAGACCUCGAGGGGGAUAGGGGCGUGCGGAACUCAGGGUGGAGCGGUGAAAUGCGUAGAUAUCCUGAGGAACACCGGUGGCGAAAGCGGCGCGCUGGAUCCCUUCUGACGCUGAGGCGCGAAAGCCAGGGGAGCAAACGGGAUUAGAUACCCCGGUAGUCCUGGCCCUAAACGUUGGGUACUAGGUAGCGGCCUGUCAUGGGGUCGCUGCCGGAGCAAAAGUGUUAAGUACCCCGCCUGGGGAGUAUGGUCGCAAGGCUGAA